rnacentral:rRNA from 1 species
UACAGAGGGGGCGAGCGUUGUUCGGAAUUACUGGGCGUAAAGGGCGCGUAGGCGGCCUGCUAAGUCGAACGUGAAAUCCCCAGGCUCAACCUGGGAACUGCGUCCGAUACUGGCAGGCUUGAAUCCGGGAGAGGGAUGUGGAAUUCCAGGUGUAGCGGUGAAAUGCGUAGAUAUCUGGAGGAACACCGGUGGCGAAGGCGGCAUCCUGGACCGGUAUUGACGCUGAGGCGCGAAAGCUAGGGGAGCAAACGGG